rnacentral:rRNA from 1 species
CUGCAACUCGCCUGCAUGAAGUCGGAAUUGCUAGUAAUCGCGGAUCAGCAUGCCGCGGUGAAUACGUUCUCGGGCCUUGUACACACCGCCCGUCACACCAUGGGAGUCGGUAACACCCGAAGUCUGUAGCCUGACGCAAGAGGGCGCAGCCGAAGGUGGAUUGAUGACUGGGGUGAAGUCGUAACAAGGUAGC